rnacentral:rRNA from 1 species
AUUGAACGCUGGCGGCAGGCCUAACACAUGCAAGUCGAGCGAGCGGCGGACGGGUGAGUAAUGUAUGGGGACUGCCCGAUAGAGGGGGAUAACUACUGGAAACGGUAGCUAAUACCGCAUACUAUCGGAUAACCCAUAUGGGAUUAGCUAGUAGGUGAGGUAAUGGCUCACCUAGGCGACGAUCCCUAGCUGGUCUGAGAGGAUGAUCAGCACAAUUGGGACUGAGACAGGGCCCGGACUCCUACGGAGGCAGCAGUGGGGAAUAUUGCACAAUGGGCGCAAGCCGGAUGCAGCCAGGCGGGGGGUAUGAAGAAGGCCCUAGGGUUGAAAAGUACUUUCAGUCGGGAGGCGUUACCGACAGAAGAAGCACCGGCUAACUCCGUGCCAGCAGCCGCGGUAAUAC